rnacentral:rRNA from 1 species
ACUCAAAUGAAUAGACGGGGACCCGCACAAGCAGCGGAGCAUGUGGUUUAAUUCGAAGCAACGCGAAGAACCUUACCAAGACUUGACAUCGAGUGCCGUCUGCGGAAACGUAGAUUUUCCCGCAAGGGAACACAAAGACAGGUGGUGCAUGGUUGUCGUCAGCUCGUGUCGUGAGAUGUUCGGUUAAGUCCGGCAACGAGCGCAACCCUUAUGAUAUGUUGCCAAUAUUCAGUUAGGAACUCAUAUCAGACUGCCGCGGAUAACGCGGAGGAAGGCGGGGAUGAUGUCAAAUCAUCAUGCCCCUUACGUCUUGGGCUACACACGUGCUACAAUGGGCGCAACAAAGAGCAGCGAAACCGCAAGGUCAAGCGAAUCUCAAAAAAGCGUUCUCAGUUCGGAUUGAGGGCUGCAACCCGCCCUCAUGAAGCAGGAGUUGCUAGUAAUCCCGAAUCAGCAUGUCGGGGUGAAUGCGUUCCCGGGUCUUGUACACACCGCCCGU